AGGGGGGCCCUGCUCUGACUUUCUCUCAGGAAACUCAGCCUGAACGGUCAGGAUGUGAAGAGGUUUGUGUCGGUGCACCCAGGGGACUCUGCCGACGGAGAAACGUUCCCUCUCACACUUUGAAAAGUUACAAGUAUGGUGGUUUAUAUUCCUUUCACUGUUGAGGUUGAUUUACGACAAUUAUGCUAAAGGAAAUGCCACGAUCAGAGGCCGCAAUCAUCCGCCAUCAGUGACUUUUUCUUUUGAUUCCGACUGCUUUUCUUUUCCAGGCCCCUCUAUGUGUAAUGGCUUCCAUACCGAGGAGCUAUUUCUUUUACGAUCCUAGAGUGGGAUUAAUAGUUGCCAGUGGAGGCAAAUGGCCAUCCAGGGAGUUACCUGUCAGGACCCUGCAGUGCGCUGGCUUCUCCACGGGCCGAUGGAUGUUACACAACAGCAGGAGACGUCACCUUGGAGGAAUGUGGGAAAUGAGAGGGGGGCGGAUCAGAGGAUGAAGGAGGAGAGAGGAAGAAGCAGAGUGCUUCACUGACUCUUGCGGUACCUUGACAUGAGUCACAGGGAGAUAAAAUGGGUCAAUUGACCAGAAGAAAUCAUGAUCCAGUUACAAUGUGCAGUAGUGUGCGGACUGAAAACAAUUGUCUUAGGUGCCUUACAGGUUUAUAUGUACAAGUGUGUUUACUACAUUAUACACUAAACACGUAAUUACCCAUUAUGCACUGUACUUUUCUAAAUGGUGUGUGCACAGCUAUUAU